GGAGCGAUACCCAAGCUGGUUUAAGGGGACUCAUUGCUAAUGAGUUAGGUUGGUAUUUCCGACGCAUGGGUUCGAAUCCCAUUUGCUCCG